rnacentral:rRNA from 1 species
UCGAGCGGACAGAUGGGAGCUUGCUCCCUGAUGUUAGCGGCGGACGGGUGAGUAACACGUGGGUAACCUGCCUGUAAGACUGGGAUAACUCCGGGAAACCGGGGCUAAUACCGGAUGCUUGAUUGAACCGCAUGGUUCAAUUAUAAAAGGUGGCUUUUAGCUACCACUUACAGAUGGACCCGCGGCGCAUUAGCUAGUUGGUGAGGUAACGGCUCACCAAGGCAACGAUGCGUAGCCAACCUGAGAGGGUGAUCGGCCACACUGGGACUGAAACACGGCCCAAACUCCUACGGGAGGCAGCAGUAGGGAAUCUUCCGCAAUGGACAAAAGUCUGACGGAGCAACGCCGCGUGAGUGAUGAAGGUUUUCGGAUCGUAAAACUCUGUUGUUAGGGAAAAACAAGUACCGUUCGAAUAGGGCGGUACCUUGACGGUACCUAACCAAAAAGCCACGGCUAACUACGUGCCAGCAGCCGCGGUAAUACGUAGGUGGCAAGCGUUGUCCGGAAUUAUUGGGCGUAAAGCGCGCGCAGGCGGUUUCUUAAGUCUGAUGUGAAAGCCCCCGGCUCAACCGGGGAGGGUCAUUGGAAACUGGGGAACUUGAGUGCAGAAAAGGAGAGUGGAAUUCCACGUGUAGCGGUGAAAUGCGUA